rnacentral:rRNA from 1 species
UACGGAGGGAGCUAGCGUUGUUCGGAAUUACUGGGCGUAAAGCGCACGUAGGCGGCUUUUUAAGUCAGGGGUGAAAUCCCGGGGCUCAACCCCGGAACUGCCCUUGAAACUGGAGAGCUAGAAUCUUGGAGAGGCGAGUGGAAUUCCGAGUGUAGAGGUGAAAUUCGUAGAUAUUCGGAAGAACACCAGUGGCGAAGGCGACUCGCUGGCAGUAUUGACGCUGAGGUGCGAAAGCGUGGGGAGCAAACAGGAU